ACAGUAUUUUUGCAGUGACUGUAUGGUAAUGUAUCACCAGAGCAUGUACAGACUGAUUGCAUGGGUACAUCGUGGCAUUGCAUGUUCAAAGAUAACUGAUCAGUUCAAGCAGGAAGGAUUGGGGUGGAGGGGGAUCUAAAGAGUGUUCAUAAGGUGUGCUUUGAUCAGCCGUGCAAGAUGGUGAACAUGGAAGUGGACUGCAGGAAUCUGUACAUUAAUCUUCCUUUGUUCAAAGGACCGUGUACCGUAACAUAGUACAUGUUAUAUAUUUAGUACCUUGAUUAGUAUACCUUGUGGUAAAGGGCAGGGAAUAGGAUGUUGCUGGAGAUGCAUGACAUGUAUGACUAUGCUGAUAAAGAAAAGUAUUCUACAUAUGGAACCUCCUAUCCACCGUACCAUGUAUGCCACUGAUGCCCAGGCUCCAGCUUAUUACAAGACCCCAGUAGCUGUUACAACAACAACUCCAGUACGUCAACAACAACAUCAUCAGCAGCCACAACAUUGUGGUCAUUUAAGUUAUUCCAAACAACCACCUCAGUUGGUCCGUAAAACGGUCAAUGGUACAAUUAUCAAUGUUCUCACUAGUCCCGAGAGAUCUGACCAGAUGAUCAUCACCCCCCUGACCCCACCCCCGACCCCAGAUAGCAACCAGUUAUAACAGGAGUGUUCUUAGGUACUGUAGUCGUAGAGUCAUUGUAAUGUUAGCAGUCACUUUAGACCUGUAGCUCACUAUUAUAAAUAUUGUUAUUUUUAUUAUUAUUAGUCACUUAGACCUAAUUAUUGUCAGUCACACAUGGCCUGAAAGGUGGUAGCUGAAUGAAGCAAGGAAAAAAAAAGGAGGAAAUGUUGUAAAGUUUUUGGAGCAGCAAGCAUUCUGUUGUUUUAAAGAGAAGGCAAGGUUUUCCAUUGCCUCUGUUGUACAUAUAUGUGGAAACAUACUAUCAUAUACAUUGAUGAACUUUUGAGUAUCUUGUAAUGUGAGGAGAACAUAUGUUUGAAGUAUCAUUGAAAUACUGCAUACAAAGAUUUGGAUAUUUACAAUUGAGUGAGCUCUUUCACUUAGAUUUUAGAAAUUGUACAUGAUUGUAAUCCAUACAUUAAAUCAGUAAUGAGAAGAAAAAACGUUUGGCACUUUUGUGCUUGUAUUAAAGACUAGUUUUUGAUCAAUGCUAGCUAACCAAGCAUUUCUUUAAACCGUUUGUAUAUAAGUAUAUAUCUAUGUAUAGUUACUUGUAAAACAAAAAAAGAACUCUUGAGUGUUCAUACUCUCUAUAAUUGUACUCUAGACUAUUGUGAUUGAGAUAAUUAGUAUAGAAUAUGCAGAUAUUUAGAGAUAAAUGCAUUGUCUUUAUAACGUUUUCUUUUGUAGAAUAUCAUUGUCUUUGAGAACAGUGCUGUCUUAUAUACUUGGAACAUAUGGCAGCAUAUAAUUAUGAAAAAUGCUGCUUUUAAAAGGUUACAAGUUUGUCAAUCAGCAUUUGCCAAUCUUUUUCUUUUAUAUUUGAAAUAGCUUGAAAAGUUGAGCCUGUUGUAGAUUUCUUGCUUAACUAUUCAGUUUUAUACUAAAAGAAACACAGCCCAUUAAAUUUGAUUUUCAUGGUGGGUUUCUUUUUGGAUCACUUGUACCCUGCUUCCUUUAGGACAACAACAAGUGAUAAGGAUUUGUAAAUUUUUGUCAUAGCAGAUUAUUUUCAGACAAGUUUCUUGUGUUUUGUUUACUGCAACAGCAAAUGCUGAUGGUAGUUUUGAAAGCAUUAAGAGGCAGAGUUUUAGAUAAGUGUUGACAUUGUAAUGUGUAGGUUUGUCCCAUGUAUGUCCCAAUUGUAAUGUUUUGUGUCCUUGUCCUCUGUUAAUGGAAAACCUUUAACUGUAGAUGAAAUUGUUCUAUUUCAAUUUGUAUUUUUCCCCCCAACUUUAUUUUCAGCCUGGCUGCUGAUUUUUUUUCUGUUCAUUUUAAAAGCUUGGAUAAUCACUUUUAAAUGAUAUUAUUGAUAAUGAGGGUCAUAAUUUAAAGUUUUGUCUAAUAUUAGAUAUUUGGUAGAAGACGAAGCACUAUUUUAACAAAUCUAACUUAUUUUUCUAUAACAAAUGGGUGAUAUGAGAAAGCAUCAUGUACGUCUUUAGUUGAUUUUUCUUUGUUUAUUGAUUUUCAAGUCUGGUGUACAAAGUUUUUAAGGGCAAAGUGUUUCAUUGUAACCAUCUAGGAUUUCAAAUACUGGAACUGGGAAUUGUUCCUUGGGAGAAAUUUUAAGUAGAAAUGAGAUGUACAUGAAAGAAUGACAACUUUCCUGUUUGCAGAAAUGCCCUGGAAAUAUUUUGUUGGCAUUCAAAUGUGGAGCAACUGCAGUGCUUGUAUAGUGUAUAUUAUUAUUAUUUUUGGUCACGUAUAAAAAAACACUUCAAUGUGAUGAUCGGUAUUUUCUGUAAACUUGAAGAAAGAAACUUUGUGUGCCAGUUCUGUUGUCAAAGAUGUAAACUCUUGAAAACUCUUUUCAAGGCAACUGGAUCAUUGUAAAUACAACAUUAGUUGUUACUGUAGCUGUAUAUACUGUCAUAGUUGCAGUCUGUAGUCUUGUCUUUUCAAUACUAAAUGUUGGGUAGUGGUAUUAAUCAGAUAGUAAAAACUACAAAAAGCUAAAAAAUUAACUCCAAAAAAAUUAAAUGUACAUCAGCUAAAUGUGAAAUAAACAUCUUAUCUAAAGACAGUUUGGUUUGGUGGUUCAUUGCUAGUUGAAAAGGGAAGAAAGUCGAGGUGUC